rnacentral:rRNA from 1 species
CGUAGGGUGCGAGCGUUAAUCGGAAUUACUGGGCGUAAAGCGUGCGCGGGCGGUUUAGUAAGACAGGCGUGAAAUCCCCGGGCUCAACCUGGGAACUGCGCUUGUGACUGCUAAGCUAGAGUACGGCAGAGGGGGGUGGAAUUCCACGUGUAGCAGUGAAAUGCGUAGAGAUGUGGAGGAACACCAAUGGCGAAGGCAGCCCCCUGGGUCGAUACUGACGCUCAUGCACGAAAGCGUGGGUAGCAAACAGGAUUAGAUACCCUGGUAGUCCACGCCCUAAACGAUGUCAACUAGGUGUUGGGAGGGUAAAACCUUUUAGUACCGGAGCUAACGCGUGAAGUUGACCGCCUGGGGAGUACGGCCGCAAGGUUA